rnacentral:piRNA from 1 species
UCAGGCUUUCAUUUGCUUUUC